rnacentral:rRNA from 1 species
AUACGGGAGGCAGCAGUGGGGAAUCUUGCGCAAUGGGGGAAACCCUGACGCAGCAACGCCGCGUGGGUGAUGAAGGCCUUCGGGUCGUAAAGCCCUGUCAGGUGGGAAGAAACUUGUUGAUGCCAAUACCAUCAACACUUGACGGUACCACCGGAGGAAGCACCGGCUAACUCCGUGCCAGCAGCCGCGGUAAUACGGAGGGUGCAAGCGUUGUUCGGAAUUAUUGGGCGUAAAGCGCGUGUAGGCGGUCAUGUAAGUCAGAUGUGAAAUCCUUCCGCUUAACGGGAGAAGUGCAUUUGAAACUACAUGACUAGAGUACGGGAGAGGAGAGUGGAAUUCCCGGUGUAGAGGUGAAAUUCGUAGAUAUCGGGAGGAACACCAGUGGCGAAGGCGGCUCUCUGGAUCGAUACUGACGCUGAGACGCGAAAGCGUGGGGAGCAAACAGGAUUAGAUACCCUGGUAGC